rnacentral:lncRNA from 1 species
AAUCCUAAGGGAUACUAGGCUAAAAUCCAAAGAGACAAAAGAGACUUGAAAGAAACUGUGGGAGUUGAAUUUACAAAAUAUUUCAUUCACUUCAACAACUCUAUAGUAAUUGUUUUCAUUCAUAUUUUUCUUCUCCUUUCUCUCUUUUUUUCCUUUUCAUAAGGAGUAUAUAUUGACAUGUAUACAUCCUUUUAUUUUUUCAUUCAUUUGUUUUCUUUUCUAUUUUCUUUUUCUAUUUUUCUUUUCUUUUUCUGUCAACUUCUGAAAUAUUACCAACAUACUUAUUCAACCCCACACAACUCCAAACAAGAAAGAGAUGGAUUUUUG